rnacentral:lncRNA from 1 species
AAUAAACGAAUAAACAAAUAGUAUCGCAACAUGCAAUCCGAACAGGAAAUGUCCAAAUUCCGUUGGUCCGUUUCCUCGGGGAAAGAACUGUGUGUCGAUAUGGAGAUCGCAGAUACAGAGCCGAAUGUUAAUUUGUAGCUGACCAGUAAGGUAUGUUUAAACAGCUUGUCUUUAAGAAGAUCCACAUAGCAGAUACACAGGACAAGAUGUUACAUCCCAUACGUAUAUUACAAGGACUAUGCACAAGGUCCCAGUCCAACCGACCCGCCAUGAUGCCAAGCGUGAAGUCCUUCAAUUCUACUGGGUAAAGAGUACAAGUAGAGAUGAACUG